AUACGUAGGGGGCGAGCGUUGUCCGGAAUGAUUGGGCGUAAAGGGCGCGUAGGCGGCCCGGUAAGUCUGGAGUGAAAGUCCUGUUUUUAAGAUGGGGAUUGCUUUGGAUACUGUCGGGCUUGAGUGCAGGAGAGGUAAGUGGAAUUCCCAGUGUAGCGGUGAAAUGCGUAGAGAUUGGGAGGAACACCAGUGGCGAAGGCGACUUACUGGACUGUAACUGACGCUGAGGCGCGAAAGUGUGGGGAGCAAACAGGAUUAGAUACCCUGGUAGUCCACACUGUAAACGAUGAAUGCUAGGUGUAGGGGGUAUCGACCCCUUCUGUGCCGCAGUCAACACAAUAAGUAUUCCGCCUGGGGAGUACGGCCGCAAGGUUGAAACUCAAAUGAAUUGGCGGGG
rnacentral:rRNA from 1 species